rnacentral:lncRNA from 1 species
UUGCAAAAGCUUCUUUCAUACGAACCCAUAUUUCUCUCUCUACGGUAGAAAAAUGGCGAAACAAAUCCCUUGGCAAAUUCAAUCGACGAUUAUAGCUCUGUGUCUUCAUCCUAUUGCGAUUUUGCAGUGGCUUUUGUAUGUGUUGAUGUGAUUUGCUAAUUUGCAGCGGCGUUUGUACAUUUUACUGCAUAUUCUGGUAUUUAUACACUCAAAUCGUGAAGUGGGUCGAUUUAAACUUUUCCUUCAACUUAUGGUACUUGUUUUCAAAAAAAUUUAACACAAAAAAGCUGAGAAUGUUGAGAUAUAAUCUUUUUCUCCCAGUUCCUUCAAACUUGUUGCUUUUUUAUUUGAUUUAUUAAGCAGGAAUUUCAAGACGUUUUCCCCCAUUCAACCUUAUUGCAUCGUUUCAAACCUUCCUAACGUACCGUCAAGCAUGAAUUUCGACAGUCGAGAUUACUGUUCCUGGGUUUAGUUUCUUAUGAUUCGGGUUCUCGGGUCGUCGAAUUUAAUAUUUUUGGUGAGGUGAUUUUUCUUCUUCUGCUAGAAUUUUUGGAUUUCUAUUUUAUAGGUUUCAAAUUAAAAGGCUUUGUUUGUCUAGGUAAAAAUGUAGGUGCUUUAGUGACAAAUUUUUAAGAUUAUUCCUAUUCGUGUUGUUGUCCGUAUAAGUCACCCUUAGUUUUUGGUUCAAACUUCAUGGGCCUGUAGUAAUAAAGGUAGCAAUAUUGAUUGGAUGUAGUUGAUUUUGUUGUUCAAAAUCCGAGUGAACGAAAUUUUGUCAAUUUGGACAACCAACAUCCAUGUAAUCCUCACUUACAUAAAAACAGGCUCUGCAUUUAAUAAAAGAUUUCACAAGAAUUUUUUCCCUAAAAAAGAUAUAUCAAAUAUAUCAUUUUGAUAUACUAAAUAAUUAUUUUUCGAUCUUACGACAUGAGGUCCCUUGUCAUGUGACCUGGUUCCCAAAACAAUAUUUAUUUUGAUUUCAUGUGAUUUGAGUACAUUUUCUUAAUAAUUAAUAACGCACAAUAAAUUGGUUAUUUAUUGUUUUAGUCGAGUUUGAAUUCCCUUUUAAUUGUAAUUUUAUUUUGGAGCGGCUUUAAUUUAAUAGUAUGUAAAGCUAUGCCUUGAUAAUGAGAGGUGGAACCACGAAACUUUGUUAUUAGUCCGACAUGUUUGUAGACUUGCUCCAAGAUGGAUUGAAUCAAGACAGACUACAUAAAACGUAAUCUCGAUUGAAAAAUGAAAUAUAAAGAAAAGAGGGUCACAAAUUGGGUACAUGGCACAUGGUGGACUUCAUUCAAAUGAUCCAAAGCUGUGAAUUUAUUUUUAAUGCGUGGAUAAUAAAUAGUUAGUAAUUAUAGAAUAAAAUGUAUGAAUGAAAAAAUAUAUUUGAUCAAUUUAAAUUAUAAUUUAAGUUUUUUCAAAUAUAAAUUCAUGUAUCUUUAUCUUUGGAAAUUCAAGUGGAUGUUAGUUUAGCACAGUGAAUGUGCAUGCAAGAAAAUAGUAAUUUUUGCUUGAUUUGAUACAUUCAAAAUGGAGAAGUAACAAUGAUACAUGGAGAAUAUGCAUAGGCUAAUCUAUAGCUUGAACUCAGAUAAGAAAGAGAGGAGGAAGAUUGCUUAACUAAUCUGGAGAAAGGUAGGGAGAGGAUCAUCUUCGACUGAGGGAUUGUUCUAAUCCUUUGAGAAAAAUGAUGAUUUCUAUUGAUACAAAUGGGAGGUAAUAAAUAAAUCAUUUUGUAAGUAACAAGCCACCAACAAAUGUCACCGUAAACACAAACAUAGAUUAUUUGUAAAGAUUUCAUCAACUUGGUUGAAUGAAAAUAUACUGAGCAAUAGAUGUAUGGUCUUUAUUCAAGCAUGUUUGUAUUCAAGCUAGAAAUAGCCAUCGAAUAUGGAAAAAAAAAACCCUCACUUUAUUUAUUUAAAAUUGCAUGCAAGACAUAAAUGUGUAUUAUUUUGAUAGAUGACGUGUUCCAUCCGACUCGGAACUCAUACCUACACUAAGGAACUAAAAAUUUGUAAUGUGCAGCAAAUUGUGGAAUUUUAGGCUAAUGAAAGAUGGAUAGAUAAAUUGUUUUUUAAUUGGUUAUAUGUUGGUCCAUAGAUGCAGAAUCCUCUUUACUUAGUUUGUGCAUAUACACAUUGUUAAUUAGACUUGUGGGGAAGUGUCGGAUAAUAUCCCUUGUUGAACAUGGGUGUUCAAUUUUUUUUCAAGUUUUUAAAUUCAUUCUAUAAAUCACUCAAGAUUUCUCUUUCUUAAUUUCACGCUGACUUGAUGAUAAUGAAUUCAAGUACCUGGUGAUUGGAAGUCGAUAAGAAAGCCCUCUUUCAUACCUUCGAAUAGACAUGUUUUUAUUUGGAUAUGUUGAUAUCUUUUCACAUAGACAAACACAUAAAGCACAAAGAGAAUAUAAAGAACAAAGAGAAAUUCUACCCACGGCAAACUCCUACACACACUUCUACAUACAUAAACAAUAUGGUUUUCCGACAUUUUUGUACAUUGGCAUAAAUAUGGAUGUGUGCAUUAGCUUCCUUUUUUUUUUUUACGUCUGUCAUUUGUCCACUUGAAUUCUUCUAUUAUCUUCAAUAUUCUAUUCUUUCUCCAAUAGUCAGAAAAUUUCUACAUAUGUGUUCUUCUCAUCAAUGUCUGAGUAGUGUCUUUUUGUUUCUAUUAGAAUAUUUAUAGUGUUUGUGUGUUCAAAACUGCAAUUUAUAUUAUGUUCAUUAUUGUGUUUUUACGUAUUAUAAAUAGGUCAAUUUGUCUUCAAAUAUUUUUUACAGCCAACUUUUUUAUUGGAAAAUUUAAUUCUAAUGUUUGGAUGAUUAAACAGAUAUGCUAAUACUUUUCUUAAAUUCUUUUAGUUCCUGUUGCUCACCUCGAGCUCCAACCAUUCGAUAAGUUAUCUUAUUGUUCUCAUGGAUAUUUCGAAAAUGUGUGCUGAUAAAGAGACUGGUUCUCUUAACUUUGAAACAAAUUUCCAUUGCCAACAACGAAAUCAUAGGCAAAGGGAUUGAUGAAAUAAACUUAGAAUUGGCUGCAGUAAUCGUCGCAAGAGGAUAACUAAUACUCUAUCAUUUGGAAAUAAUGAUUCCAGUGUUGCACAAGUGCAACAUUCUGUAAUGCAUCAUGAUGAUGGGCUUCUAUUUCAAACCAAGAAAUGCCUAAUAUUUCCAUUUCUGAAUUCGGAGGUAGUUUGACUCUACUAAACAUACCAACGAGUGCAUAUAUAUUACCAACUUGCAUAUAUUGUAAACAUUGUGAUGCACGAAAAUUUUAUAGAGAAAGUAAAGGUUUCUAUUGCUCCGAUGGAAAAAUUCAGCUUUGUAUGCCUGAUUCACCGGCUGAAUUGUACAACUUGUUUACUUCUAAAGAACUUAACUUUAUGGAAUUCAAAAAAAAAUUGCAAGAGGAUAUAAUAACCAUUUUGCGUUUAUUUCAUUUGGUGUAAAGUAAAACAAGGAUCUUUUUAAAGCAUACAAAGGUAUUUAUACAUUUAGGGUUCAAGGGCAAGUAUAUCAUUAUGUGAAUGAACUUAUGCCACAGAACAAUACCCCUUCUUAUAUGCAGUUAUACUUUUAUGACAUAGAUAAUGAACUUCAAAAUCGUAUGAGAAUUUCAGAAAACUUUGUUGAAUCUACUUUGAUUGUUUUAAUUGAAAUCCUGAAAGUAAAUCCAUAUAGUAGAUUCUUUAGGUCUUUAAGUGAUAUGUCUAACUUGCACGACAUCGUAUACACAUAAGAUGUGAUCAGGGAUUUGAUCAAAAAGUCUUCAAUACUCCUACAACAUCUCAAGUAGUUGUUGUAUGGGUCGAAGAUGAUGAAAAUGCCAAUGUUCAUGUUCGUGACAUUACUAUAUAUGGCCAUUUCGGUGAUUCACAUAGAGUUCAUUAUUAUUAUGGUUGUUAUGAUCCUUUACAGUAUCCUUUACUUUUUCCAUAUGAGGAAUCUGGUUGGCAUAAAGGCAUUUGAAGAUGUAGAAGCAUGUACUUUGAGCCUGAAUUCGUUGAAUUUCCAAGCACAGUUACCUCUGCAGCUGAAUUUAUCGAAAAAGAAAAUCAAGGUUUGCAAAUAUACCUUCUUAUACAUUCUUCUAACUUUUACAAUUUGGAUGUUUUAAAUGAAUGCUCGUUUUUGUUUUCCUUUUUGCCAUGCAGUGC